AAGACAUCUUUCAAGUGGGUGAAUUCACCCUCGUGUGAUUUCUGUGCAUCCAACACGCAUCACAUAGGCAUGGGAGAACCAAGUGCCGAGGAUCUCCAGUUUGGAGCCAGCCGUGUAGAGAUUCACAGUUGCGAGCUUUGUGGAACAGUCACUCGAUUUCCACGCUACAACAGUCCCGCAAAGCUCAUGGAGACACAAUGCGGUCGCUGUGGAGAGUGGGCCAAUUGUUUUACGUUCUAUUGCGUUGCGCUAGGCUACAAUGCU